rnacentral:rRNA from 1 species
CAGCAUCCGCGGUAAUACAGAGGGUGCGAGCGUUAAUCGGAUUUACUGGGCGUAAAGCGUGCGUAGGCGGCUUCUUAAGUCGGAUGUGAAAUCCCUGAGCUUAACUUAGGAAUUGCAUUCGAUACUGGGAAGCUAGAGUAUGGGAGAGGAUGGUAGAAUUCCAGGUGUAGCGGUGAAAUGCGUAGAGAUCUGGAGGAAUACCGAUGGCGAAGGCAGCCAUCUGGCCUAAUACUGACGCUGAGGUACGAAAGCAUGGGGAGCAAACAGGAUUAGAUACCCCAGUAGUCCCUGUCUCUUAUAC